UACGUAGGGGGCGAGCGUUGUCCGGAAUUACUGGGCGUAAAGAGCGUGUAGGCGGAUAUUUAAGUCAGAUGUGAAAGACCGGGGCCUAACUCCGGGGUUGCAUUUGAAACUGGGUAUCUUGAGGGCAGGAGAGGAAAGUGGAAUUCCUGGUGUAGCGGUGAAAUGCGUAGAUAUCAGGAGGAACACCGGUGGCGAAGGCGGCUUUCUGGACUGACCCUGACGCUGAGACGCGAAAGCGUGGGGAG
rnacentral:rRNA from 1 species